rnacentral:misc_RNA from 1 species
GAAAUGCGAUAAUUAAUGUGAAUUGCAGAAUUCAGUGAAUCAUCGAGUCUUUGAACGCACAUUGCGCCCCCUGGUAUUCCGGGGGGCAUGCCUGUCCGAGCGUCAUUGCUGCCCUCAAGCACGGCUUGUGUGUUGGGCUUCCGUCCCUGGCAACGGGGACGGGCCCAAAAGGCAGUGGCGGCACCAUGUCUGGUCCUCGAGCGUAUGGGGCUUUGUCACCCGCUCCCGUAGGUCCAGCUGGCAGCUAGCCUCGCAACCAAUCUUUUUAACCAGGUUGACCUCGGAUCAGGUAGGGCUACCCGCUGAACUUAAGC